rnacentral:lncRNA from 1 species
CUGGUUCAAACACGAAAUAGACAGAAACUGUUGGGACUCCGAAGGUGAACGCGAUGGGUUGUUGAUGACACGAAGUGAACGCGAGAUAUAAAGUCUAUAAAAGGAAGGCCGCAUGGAAUAAGAAGAGGGACCGAAUAUUUUAUCCUUUCACUUGGCCACCACCAUUCUGCACACCUCCACUAUCUUCCUCCACGCCUCACCUAAGCUAGCCAUCGAAACACCCAAAAGUCUCUGCAAUCCAACACAUGUCACCCCCUCUUCCAUCUCCAAACCUCCAAACAACCGACCUAAAGCCCUCUUCUUCUCCACAAAAACCUCUCCUCCUGCUCUUGAUCCUUGCUCCAAGUCGUUGAAAGAAGUUCUCAGAGUUUCAGGAUGAAGAUUUCAUUGAGAAGCAUCCCAAUGGCCGGCUAGUCGUCAUGUUCUCAGGAGAUCUCUGUAAUUUUGUUUUGACAGUGUACUUUCUUUCAUAUCUUUUGUAUUUCUCUUUUUGAUAUACAAUAAAGACUUGCUUUUCAUGCUUUAUAUCUGUCUUUUUUUUUGCAUAAGAUUUUACUCUAGAAUAGUCUAUUAUCCUUGGGACGAGUCGUAAUCUAUAGGUAUGGUUCGUGCUCCUGGGAUAGAUUAUCUUUAGAUUAUAAUUUUCUUUUGUAUCUAGAUAAUUUUGACUAGCCUAUAACUUUAAGGAACAGACCGUGAUCCAACGGAUACGGGCCGUGCUCUCUAAGAUAGGCUAUAUGCUUAUUAUUUAGAUACCCGAGCAAGGCAUGUUAAAGAAGGAUACCAGCUAUCUAAGAAGAAAGCAGCUGAGAUCCUAAGAAUUCCUUUCACACUUGUAUUCAACCUUUAAUUAAUUCUCUUUAUUUACUUAUUUAAUUAUCCAUAUAAGUGGUCUUUUAAUCAGCGUUCAUUCUGCUCUCUAACCUAAAACUAAACAACUCAACCGCAAUUAACACGAUCUCUGUGGAUACGAUUCUGAUUCAUCCUAAUUAUAUAGUAGUGAAUCAAGUUUAUUUUUAACCGCCUACGACAAUGAUCAACGUAUAUGCUUGAUUCCAAAGGUAUGAAUAUCUAGUUGACUUAUCAAAAUCUUUGGUGAUGCCUCACACUAAUAAUGGAAUUAUCACAGAUAAUCAAUGGCUGAAAAUGUCAUUUGCAGAAGACAACAAAUCUGUCACAAAAAGUGCACUUUUCUGCUAACAUGAACUCUACUAAAGAUCAUCAUCAAUUCAAUUUCCUAUUGAUACACUAAUUACCUCAUUAUAAGAUCCCAAAGAUCACCCAUCCUUGAAUUUUUGCCACAAGUCCUAAAUUAUCACAUAACAUGUCAUGUUACACAAAUUUGUUCUAUGAACAAAAAGGUCCAAGAACUGGACCCAAUUGACCCAAAAAAUAAUACAAACUUCAAUUUUAGUACCAACAAAAGCCACCUCAGUUUCAAGGCUACAUCAGCAAAGAGAGAAUUGAGAGUAAAGAAUAAUGACGAGUAACUUAUCAAACUAGACAAAGGAAGAAGAUUCAAUUAAAAUGAAAUGAGAAAGGAUAUUGUAUCAACCACAUAAAACAUUUAGCUCAAAUUCAUUUUUCUAUUACGUUUCUCCAGUGAUUCUUCUUUUAUACUGCACAUAACAUGCAACCAAAAAGGACAUUAAAUAUGUGACAAUCAUAUAUUUCAUGCAUAAUCAUAGCCGUUAGUUCCCCUUGAAGUUAUUUUAAUGUUAAAUAUUAAAAUGCACUAAUAUACCCAAAUCUUGAUUCAAAAUCUCCCGCUCUAGGCCUCAUGCAGUUUCCACACCUAUCAGUCCCACGCAUGCAACUAAAUUACAAAGUUUACCUAAAAUUUAGCAUAGGUGGGUAAUAUAAGCCAAAAAUCUUUUCACCUAAGUUGAUAUAGAAGGCAAUUGACAUGUGAUAUGUAUCAAACAUCAGCACAGACAUGGUUAUUGCAGCCUUGUUUGAGCAUCAAGUAAAUUAUAGGCUUCCCUCCAAAGCAGUUUAUUCUUUGCAACCCGGAUUAGACAUGAAAUCCAUAACAUCAAAGAGAGGAAGAGACACAUCACCAUCAAAGUAUUUGGUAAGGCAAAAACUAGCUUACAAAUAGUAAUUAUCAAACAUGACUUACCAUACUGAGUGGCUAUUUUGUUUAAUUAGAGGUAAUUAGAUGCCUAGGUGCUUGGAAUGGCUAAAUUGCCCAGGGAACAAGUAUGUGGUAAGUGCCUAGGCAAUGGGGUUGCCUUGACACCUAGGUAAUAACUUGUGAUGACAUUACUUUGAAGUUCAUUCUUCUCGCAGAAAUAUGAUUCCCUUGGCAUAUAAUGCAUGCCCUGUUUGAUUAAUUUUGUUGAUUGGGUAAUUAUUCUUUGUUCUUCAUGCAAUGUCAUUUCCAAGAUUGUUUAAUUGACUUUUUUUUUAAUUUUCAAACCAAAAAAAAUUGAGGGAUCAAAGCUAGAAAGGUGGAAUAAAAAUUACAAGAAAAAACAUUUAAGCUUUCAAAGCAUAAGGAAAAUCUUCAACCUACGCGAUAUUGCAAAGCAAUCAUGAUCAACAUGCCUUAUCCGUUCUAUACCAUUAGCUUUACUCCUCAAGAUAUGAUCCACCAAAAUUCUGAAAAUUUUGCAAUCACCAGCUGGCAUCCUAGCUCCAGUGGUGUAUGUUUUCACAACCAAGACAACAUUGGGCAAUAAAUAGUCCACUGAAAUCUUCGAAGGACUAGUUGGCAAGUUUAUUGAACAUCAUAUUGUUGAGUAAUAGAAUUUCUUUCCUUUUUUUAAAGGACCAACUUGUCUUUGCUUUCAUUUUUCCCUCUGUUUCUGUGCAUUGGCUGCAGAAAGAUGAAGCAAGAUUCUCCUCCUUGCUCUCCACCUUUCUUACUUGUGAUACAUAAAGAAAUAAUUCUGCUUUCGACAGGUAUGUUUUUUUCUCUAAGUUUGUACCUAGAGAGAGUGUAGCUCUUGAAAUGGUCUUCCCUAUAGGGCCAAUGAUCUUGGUGAAGCUGCCAAGUAUCUGCCUUGGGCAUGCUAAUAUU